AACAGCUAUGGGUCAAGUCCGAUAUCUUUAGGAGAAGUCUUAUUGUGAGGGCGAGUUUUAUAACACCAUAGGACUGGCCGUCCCAUAUGAAAAGAUUAUAUUAGAAUUGAAUGAAGCUUUGUUUAUAUAUUGAUAAUGACAGUAUAUAUAUCGUGUCUUGACUAAUUGCGUGCCAGCAGUCGCGGUAAUACGUAAGAGACUAGUGUUAUUCAUCUUAAUUAGGUUUAAAGGGUACCCAGACGGUCAAUAUAGCUUAUAAAAUGUUAGUACUUGACUAGAGUUUUAUGUAAGAGGGCAGUACUUGAGGAGGAGAGAUGAAAUUUCGUGAUACCAAAGGGACUCUGUAAAGGCGAAGGCAGCCCUCUAUGUAAAAACUGACGUUGAAGGACGAAGGCACAGAGAACAAACAGGAUUAGAUACCCAAGUAGUCUUUGCAGUAAAUGAUGAAUGCCAUAGGUUAGAUGGGUGGGUAGUCUAGUUGAGUUAAUUUAGCAAACUAAUGAUCUAGACUAGUCCACCAUAUAUUUGGUCUAUAAAUGAAAGUGUAAGCAUUUCACCUCAAGAGUA
rnacentral:rRNA from 1 species